rnacentral:lncRNA from 1 species
UCCCAAACGCAUAGGUUGUCUUGAAUGGUGUUACAUGUAGUUUGAAACUCAACAAGAAAGUGAGGAUUGUAAAUGUUGUAACAAAUGGAGGACAAAAUUCCAAUAGGGAGCUCCCCGAGAACAACUUUAAGCAGCACAGAUCAUUGCCACAGAAGCUGGUGAUGCUUAAUCAUAAUAAACAACUGAAAUAUACUUUUCUCAAGUGUUAUGCCA